rnacentral:rRNA from 1 species
UACGUAGGGUGCAAGCGUUAAUCGGAAUUACUGGGCGUAAAGCGUGCGCAGGCGGUUUUGUAAGACCGAUGUGAAAUCCCCGGGCUUAACCUGGGAACUGCAUUGGUGACUGCAAGGCUUGAGUGUGUCAGAGGGAGGUGGAAUUCCGCGUGUAGCAGUGAAAUGCGUAGAUAUGCGGAGGAACACCAGUGGCGAAGGCGACUUCCUGGCCUGUUCUUGACGCUGAGGCGCGAAAGCUGGGGGAGCAAACGGG